CUCGCCCUACGGGACGCAGCAGUGGGGGAUAUUGGACAAUGGGGGAAACCCUGAUCCAGCGAUGCCGCGUGAGGGAAGAAGGUUUUCGGAUUGUAAACCUCUGUGGAGGGGGACGAUAAUGACGGUACCUGAAGAAAAAGCUCCGGCUAACUACGUGCCAGCAGCCGCGGUAAUACGUAGGGAGCGAGCGUUGUCCGGAGUUACUGGGUGUAAAGGGAGCGUAGGCGGGACGGCAAGUCAGAUG
rnacentral:rRNA from 1 species